rnacentral:rRNA from 1 species
UAACGCGUAUAGAACCUACCCUUUACAGGGGGAUAGCCCUGAGAAAUUCGGAUUAAUACCCCAUAGUAAUAUUUUGUGGCAUCACAGAGUAUUUAAAGUUUCGGCGGUAGAGGAUGGCUAUGCGUCUUAUUAGUUAGUAGGUGAGGUAACGGCUCACCUAGACAGCGAUAAGUAGGGGCCCUGAGAGGGGGAUCCCCCACACUGGUACUGAGACACGGACCAGACUCCUACGGGAGGCAGCAGUGAGGAAUAUUGGACAAUGGUCGAGAGACUGAUCCAGCCAUGCCGCGUGCAGGAAGACGGCCUUACGGGUUGUAAACUGCUUUUAUACGGGAAGAAUAAUACCUUGUGUGGGUAGAUGACGGUACCGUAAGAAUAAGGACCGGCUAACUCCGUGCCAGCAGCCGCGGUAAUACGGAGGGUCCGAGCGUUAUCCGGAAUUAUUGGGUUUAAAGGGUCCGCAGGCGGGUCAGUAAGUCAGGGGUGAAAGUUUGCGGCUUAACCGUAAAAUUGCCUUUGAUACUGCUGGUCUUGAGUUGCGGUGAAGUGGCUGGAAUAUGUGGUGUAGCGGUGAAAUGCAUAGAUAUCACAUAGAACACCGAUUGCGAAGGCAGGUCACUAACCGCCGACUGACGCUGAUGGACGAAAGCGUGGGGAGCGAACGGGAUUAGAUACCCCGGUAGUCCACGCCGUAAACGAUGGACACUAGCUGUCGGGCCGAUUUAGGUUCGGUGGCUAAGCGAAAGUGAUAAGUGUCCCACCUGGGGAGUACGUCGGCAACGAUGAAACUCAAAGGAAUUGACGGGGGCCCGCACAAGCGGUGGAGCAUGUGGUUUAAUUCGAUGAUACGCGAGGAACCUUACCAGGGCUUAAAUGUAGUGGGACAGGCUUAGAGAUAGGCUUUUCUUCGGACUCAUUACAAGGUGCUGCAUGGUUGUCGUCAGCUCGUGCCGUGAGGUGUCAGGUUAAGUCCUAUAACGAGCGCAACCCCUACCGUUAGUUGCCAGUGAGUAAAGUCGGGGA